UACGUAGGGUGCAAGCGUUUAAUCGGAAUUACUGGGCGUAAAGCGUGCGCAGGCGGUUAUAUAAGACAGUUGUGAAAUCCCCGGGCUCAACCUGGGAACUGCAUCUGUGACUGUAUAGCUAGAGUACGGUAGAGGGGGAUGGAAUUCCGCGUGUAGCAGUGAAAUGCGUAGAUAUGCGGAGGAACACCGAUGGCGAAGGCAAUCCCCUGGACCUGUACUGACGCUCAUGCACGAAAGCGUGGGGAUCAAACAGG
rnacentral:rRNA from 1 species